AUACAUUUUCCAUCUCCAGUAUCGCCGGGAAAAGAAAUAGUGAAAACCUAGAUCCCAAUUAUGAAGGGGACGAUGUUGGCCGGAGUGAGAUGGUUGUUAUAGGAUAACAACAACAGUAAGAAAUUUGGAUUGAACGCCUCCUCCUCGGUCGCUGGUGGCAUUAGUAGAUCAUGCUACGACUGCAUCCCUAACAUCAGAACUUUUUCAUCUUCUUCUUCGUCAGUCAGAGAAGGAUGUGAUGAUGGUGUUGGUGGUUGUGUAAUGAGUUUUGGUGAUGGGAACCAAGGGGCUUUAGGAUUGCCCUCAUCCUCACUGGGAAUUGGGGCAGGGGGAGGGGGUGAUGCCUAUGAACCCAUUAAGAUAACAGGUCUUCCUUCAGAUGAUAUCACCUGUAUUGGAGCUGGACAUUAUCACUCUCUAGCUGUUACUUCUCAUGGAGACGUUUGGUCAUGGGGGCGAAACAAUGAAUUUCAGCUCGGCAGGGCUUCGUUCGAUGUUCCAAGCAGAGAUUCAUGGAGUAAGCCGGAGAUGGUGCAAGGGCUGAGUCAAGUCAGAGUGAAAGCUGUAUAUGCCUCCGGUGUUGUUUCCACUGCUAUUGGAGAGGAUGGUUCCUUGUGGGUAUGGGGCAAAUCAAAGCGAGGCCAACUCGGUCUUGGCAAAGGAAUUACCGACUCUCCCUUACCUUCCAGGGUUGAGGCACUUGCUGGAGAACACAUUGUUAAGGUAUCUCUUGGGUGGGGGCAUGCUCUCGCACUUACAAAUGAUGGGAAGUUAUUUGGCUGGGGUUACUCUGCAGAUGGUAGGUUAGGACAUAUUGGGAUGUCACUAGAAAAAAUGUCCAUGUCACCUCAAAUUCUGGGUGCCUCCACAUCGGUAGAAACUCAAGGAACUUUUUCAUCUCUAGAAGUUGCGGAGAAGCUGGUCUUGGAGCAGAUGCAAAAGGAGAACGACAUGCCUAUAAUCUGGGAACCAUGUCUACUGCAAGAAUUAAACGGUGUUCAAGUAUCAGAUGUGGCUUGCGGGCUUGAUCACUCUCUAGUUCUUUGCUGUAAUGGUGUGUUAUUGAGUGGCGGAAAUAACACUUACGGUCAGCUGGGCAGAGGUAAAGAGGAUAGCUCAGGAUUAUCUCCAGUUGACAUGAGCUUCCAGCCAUUAUCUAUAUCUUCGGGCUUAGGUCAUUCUCUAGCAGUGUGUCAGCAGAUUUCCUCAUCACAAGAGGUUAUGGGAGGAGAUGUCAGUGGUACAGGGAUUGCUUCGUGGGGAUGGAAUGGGAAUUCUCAGUUAGGGAGGUCUGGCCCAGAAAGCGUACCAAAGCUGGUGGAGGGGCUAGAAGAAGAGACACCUUUAUUUGUGUCUGGUGGCUGUGUACAUUCUGUUGCCCUCACGUCUAAGGGGGAAGUGUGGGUAUGGGGUUGUGGAAAAAAUGGGAGGCUUGGACUAGGGAGCUCAAUUGAUGAAGUUGAACCUGCCCUGAUAGAGGAUUUGGAAGGUGUUAAAGUUAUGCAGAUUGCAUCUGGGUUUGAUCAUAAUCUACUGUUGGUGGUCAAUCAGUGACAGCAAGUUGGACACAAGCGACGAGACUAGCUAAGGUGAGCCCCGACACGGCAGACAUUAUCGGCAUCAAAAAUUGAAGUUAGCUGUAGCCUUUAUGGAUAAGAGAAUGAUGUUGUGCCACCAUAUCAAAUGUGGCGCAGCGUAUCAACGGUAACUCAGCUCAAUCUAGAAAUUUAGGUUAAAAUUUCUAAAGACCUGACUUCUUGAAUCGAAGAAUUGAAUCAGAUUCGAUGCAAGGCUCUCGAAUUGAUGACAGAAUCAAAUCAAUGCAAGGCUUUAGAGAAAAACUCUAGUUUAAUAUCUCUUAAAAACUGAAUGUCAAAAACUAUCUUACAAUCCCUUAUUUAUAAUAACCUAACUUUCCUAAAAAUCGAGCAUCAAAAAAAGGAAAUCAUAAAAGAAAAGUAAAUCUAAAAAAAAAGGCCAAAAUUAGGAAAGGUAUCAAGAUGCUGCAUCAGGUUCCGCCGGGGUAGAAGGAUUCGACCACGAAUCUGGAACUGGGUCUGGUGGAACAAAACGUGAUAAAUAACGAACAUUGAAGACAUCCGAAGUGUUGAUGUUUGCUGGAAGUUGUAGACGAUAAGCAUUGUCAUUAAUUCGUUCCACGACCGUGAGAGGACCUAUUUUCUUUGCCUUGAGUUUAUUAUAAGCAUGAGCCGGCAUUCGAUCUUUAGUGAGAAAUACCCAAACUUGAUCACCUACCUCGAAGAGAACACGACGGCGACGAGAAUCAGACGCAGCUUUGUACUUUGAGGAGGAUGAUUCGAGAUUGGCAAUAACCUGCGUAUGAACCUUAUGAAUGUUGUCUAUAAAAUCAUCAGCUACACCAUGAAGACGUGUACGGUCUAGAAGAGUAGAUAAAUCCAAAGGACCACGAGGGAGAAGACCAUAAACGACCUGAAAUGGACUGAACCCCGAACUUCUAUUUAGUGAAUGAUUAUGAGCAAACUCUGCUUGAGGAAGUUUUGAAUCCCAAGUUCUAAUAGAAUCACCCACAAGACAGCGAAGCAAAUUCCCCAAAGAUCUAUUGGUCACUUCUGUUUGACCGUCCGUUUGAGGAUGAUAAGCGGAGCUCAUGUCAAGGCUGGUUCCUAGUAAUUUCCAUAAAGACCUCCAAAAAUGACCUAAGAACCGAGAAUCCCGAUCAGAAACGAUGGAAGUUGGCAAUCCAUGGAGUCUGUAAACCUCUCGAAAGAAAAGUGUUGCGACUUGGACUUUUUACAUGGAAUGAAGUGUAUCAUCUUGGAGAAACGAUCAACAAUGACAAAGAUUGAAUCGAAACCCUUUUGUGUGCGAGGAAGACCCAUCACAAAAUCCAUACUGAUGUUUGUCCAUGGUUGUGUUGGAAUAGGGAGAGGAAGGUAGAGACCGGCAUUUGUGGCAUGACCUUUUGAUGUCUGACACACUGUACAACGUUCGACAAAACGCUCAACAUCACGUCUUAAUGCAGGCCAAAAAUAAGACUGAGAAAGUACAUGCAACGUCCGGUCGCGACCAAUGUGACCUUCAUUAUGUGUUUCAGCAACAAGUUUAAGACGGAGGCUGCAGUCUGGAAUGCAAAGACGACUGUCUCUAAAAAGAAAGCCAUCAUGCAUAGUGAAAUCUCGAGAAAGGCCAUUCUGAACGUCAAGAAGAACUCGACUAAAGAAAUCAUCAGACUCAUACAAAUCAGCAAAGGUGGAAAAUCCCGGAACUGACACAUGAAGAACACUCAGCAAAGAAUGGCGACGACUCAAGGCAUCAGCAACUCGAUUGGAAACACCUGACGUGUGUUUGAUAACAAACGUAAAUUGUUGCAAGUAAGAUAUCCAUGAUGCAUGACGAGCUGAGACUUUAUCUUGACUAUUCAAGUGUUUUAAAGCAUCAUGAUCUGUGUAGAGAACAAAUUCUUUAUGGAAAAGAUAAUGUCUCCAGUGCUUGAUUGCUUGAACCACUGCAUAAAAUUCCACAUCGUAAGUACUGUAACGUAGACGGGCUCCAGCCAGCUUUUCACUGAAGAAGGCGAUAGGCCUGUUGCGUUGGCUCAAGACAGCACCAAUGCCCAACUUAGAAGCAUCACUAUGUAGCUCAAAAACUUGAGUAAAAUCUGGAAGAGCUAGUAUAGGUGUUGAUAACAAUUUUGUUUUAAUGAUUUCAAAAGCUGUAGUUGUUUCGGUAGUCCAAGUGAAGACACUAUCAUGACGAAUACAAUCAGUGAUAGGUGCCAUCAAACUGCUAAAUUGCGGCACAAAUCUUCGAUAAAAAGAUGCUAGACCAUGAAAACUUCGAGUUUCAGAUAAAGUAGUAGGAGUAGGCCAAGAUUUGAUUGCUUCUACUUUGCCUGGGUCGACGGCUAGCCCUUCUGAAGCGACGAUGUAUCCAAGGAAGUGAACCUCAGGAGAGCCGAACUCACACUUCUUUAGUGUGGCAAAUAGUUGAUCUCGACGGAGAACAAGAAGUACGUCUCUCAAGUGUGCAAGAUGUUCUGUUAAGGACUUACUAAAUAUGAGAAUAUCAUCAAAAUAAACGACUACAAACUUACCUAUGAAGGGCCGAAGAGAUUGAUUCAUAACGUGCAUGAAGGUGCUUGGUGCAUUGGACAAGCCAAAGGGCAUGACAAGCCAUUCAAAAAGUCCCUCUCGAGUCUUAAAAGCAGUCUUCCAUUCAUCUCCAGGACGGAUUCGUAUCUGAUGAUAACCACUGCGAAGAUCCAGUUUAGAGAAAAGUUUCGCAGCUCCAAUUUGAUCCAAUAAAUCGUCAAGACGGGGAAUGGCAAAUCUAUAGCGGACUGUAAUUUUAUUGAUAGCACGGCUAUCAACACACAUUCGCCACGAUCCAUCUUUCUUUGGUAUAAGCAAAGCUGGGACGGCACACGGACUGAGACUCUCACGUAAAUAACCCUUGACCACAAGAUCCUCAACUUGACGUCUGAGUUCUUCAUGCUCACUCGGACUCAUACGGUAAUGAGCUCGAUUAGGAAGAAUAGCAUCUGGAACUAGAUCAAUACGGUGUUGAAUGUCUCUGAGGGGAGGAAGGCCAGGUGGUAACGCAUCAGGGAAAACAUCCCGAAACUCUUCCAAAAGGUCUUGAAAGUGUGCUGGAAUCGAUGGCACAGACUCGCUGAUAACUGAAUUGAUCAGAAUCAAAACACGUCCCUCUUCACGAAGUGUUUGUUCAAAACCUUGUCGUUGUAAGAGAAGGACUGGACCGAUGAUGAGUGUUGUCUCUCAGGCAGAGAGGGUUGGAGAAUGAAAUUGCGAUCGUUGUAGCGGAAGCUGUAGGUAUUGUGAUAACCAUCAUGUUGUACUCGAUGAUCAAAUAGCCAAGGGCGUCCUAAUAGGAGAUGACAAGCAUCCAUAGGAGCAACAUCACAAUGAAUCAGAUCCUUAUAUGAAUCACCCACCGAAAAAGAAAUUAAUGCUCGUCUAGUUAUUAGUAAAUCAGUUUUGUGAUCCAGCCACGACAACUUAUAAGGGUAAGGAUGUAGUUCCGAUGCCAAGCGUAGCUUGUUGACAACGUCUUCAGCAAUGACGUUUUCGCUACUUCCCGAGUCGAUGAUGAAUUUGCAGACCUUACCUCCAAUGGUACACUUCGAAUGAAAAAUAUUAUGGCGUUGAUAUCUGCACUACGCGGAGCGAGACACACACGACGUACCAUUAAUGCUGGUCCAUUAUCUGCAGCAAGAAUCUCUGUCUCAUCUUGUGGUUCCGCAGGGUCCUCAUCGUAGAUUACUUCAAUGUCAUUACCAGCAGUGUCAAGGAGGAGACCCCGACGGUUUCGAGUGGGGCAAGUAGACUGUCGGUGUCCUAUUUCUACACAAGAGAAACAACACAAAGAGUUUGGUCGAGCUUGCCGCUGGUCAAGAGCAAGAACAAUGGAAAAAUCUGUUUUGACAGGUGCAGCAUCGUCUGGUACUGUCUGAGGUGGAUUUGGACGCAAAGAACGCAUACUAGACCAAGAGGAGAAUGAUGAUUUUGUUUGUGCUUCAAUGGUCAAAGCUUGUUGAUGUGCUUCGGAAAGUGUCAGAGGGUUGAAAAGAUUGAUGGUGUGUUGAAUCUGUUGCCGUAACCCUGCUGUAAAUCGUGCUACCAACUGACGCUCAGAAUCUUGUACAUCAACACGAUGAAGAAGUAAAAAGAAUUCGGUAGAGUAAUCAGCUACAGAGCGGGUGCCUUGGCGGAUGGUAUGGAGACGUUGAAACAUAAGCUGAUCAUAAUUGUAAGGCAAGAAUGUUUUCUUAAGUUUCCACGAAAGCUUAUCCCAGGACAUGAUCUUAGGUUUCCCAAGACGGGCUCGAGUUGUCUUCAAUUGUGUCCACCACGCUGCUGCUCGUCCACGAAAGCGCAUUGUUAAAACAGGAACACAACGCUCCAUUGGAGCUCGUCUGAACUCCAAAAUCUCUUCCACCGUGACUAUCCAAUCGAGUAGUUCUUCAGCUGAAGAAUUUCCAUGAAACUCUGGUAUAUCGGUUUUGAAACCCGAUUCCCAAUGAUUAUGUGCUGCUGCAUCUUGGACGUUAUCUGGUGCUAGGGUACGGUUGUUGUGUAGAGGAGCAAAGGGGUUAACGUCGUCUGCAAACAGGUUUUCUUCGUCAUCAACAUCGUCCCUGUUACUGUUAGCGUGUUCAACAUGUUCGCGCACUGCUGGUGUUGGUCGCUGAACAAGAAGGGCUUGGAGCGCGGUUGUGAUGGAAGCCAUCUGGGCUUGUAGCUCAGCAAUAGCGUCACGAGUGAUUUCUGCUUCAGUACGUACUGGUGCUCGACGAGGUCUCGGCAUUGUUGUGACAGAAAAAGAAAAAGAACGUAGCCUGUCUCUGAUACCAACCUGGCGCAGCGUAUCAACGGUAACUCAGCUCAAUCUAGAAAUUUAGGUUAAAAUUUCUAAAGACCUGACUUCUUGAAUCGAAGAAUUGAAUCAGAUUCGAUGCAAGGCUCUCGAAUUGAUGACAGAAUCAAAUCAAUGCAAGGCUUUAGAGAAAAACUCUAGUUUAAUAUCUCUUAAAAACUGAAUGUCAAAAACUAUCUUACAAUCCCUUAUUUAUAAUAACCUAACUUUCCUAAAAAUCGAGCAUCAAAAAAAGGAAAUCAUAAAAGAAAAGUAAAUCUAAAAAAAAAGGCCAAAAUUAGGAAAGGUAUCAAGAUGCUGCAUCAAAAUGGGCGGCUAAGGAAGAGAACACAAUUUAGAUUGUUAUGCUGGCCUUUGUCUUACUACUCAUUGUGGUUGGAAAUCGUGACAGUGCUUCCUUUAUCUUACUCUAUUCACAGGUGAAAGUGAAGAAGUUUAUAUACAAGCACUGGUCACCAAAUGCUGGGAUUCUGUUUUCAUAGCAGGUGCAGUUAUGGAAUCCUCUGCUUGAGAUAAUUGCCAAGCCUGGCCAAAACCAGGGAGCGCUCGUGCCAGAAUCGGCCUCUGAGACUGAUCUUCACGUAAGGGCCAUCUACUUCAGAGAGCUCUGCCACUCCUAAAUAAUUGAAAGCACAAGAAGAAAUUGAACCGUGAUAUAUGAGAAAAAAGAGUGGAACUGAAGUUUGGUUACACAAAUGUUGAUAAGUACCUGUCAUGCCAAUGGAAGUAUCGAAGAUUUGUGCAAACUGAUCGAGAAAAUGAAAACAUAAAGAAAAUUGUCGUCAUGAUUUAUGUAGGAUCAGCAAUAAUAAUGCUGCAACUUGAACUGUUAUAAUUUGAUUAUUACGUGCUAAUAUGAAUGGUGUAUCGAGGGAGUUAAUGAA